AGUGUGAGUCUUUUCAUGAUAGCGAAAG
rnacentral:piRNA from 1 species